UCGGUGCUGGCCAGGCGGGCCAACAGCUCGGGGCUGAUGGUGAGCAGGUCGCAGCCCGCCAGCGCCAGA
rnacentral:tRNA from 1 species